rnacentral:rRNA from 1 species
ACGCACGCUGGCGGCGUGCUUCACACCUGCAAGUCGAACGGAAAGGCCCUGCUUUUGUGGGGUGCUCGAGUGGCGAACGGGUGAGUAACACGUGAGUAACCUGCCCUUGACUUUGGGAUAACUUCAGGAAACUGGGGCUAAUACCGGAUAGGAGCUCCUGCUGCAUGGUGGGGGUUGGAAAGUUUCGGCGGUUGGGGAUGGACUCGCGGCUUAUCAGCUUGUUGGUGGGGUAGUGGCUUACCAAGGCUUUGACGGGUAGCCGGCCUGAGAGGGUGACCGGCCACAUCGGGACUGAGAUACGGCCCAGACUCCUACGGGAGGCAGCAGUGGGGAAUAUUGCACAAUGGGCGGAAGCCUGAUGCAGCAACGCCGCGUGCGGGAUGACGGCCUUCGGGUUGUAAACCGCUUUCGCCUGUGACGAAGCGUGAGUGACGGUAAUGGGUAAAGAAGCACCGGCUAACUACGUG